rnacentral:rRNA from 1 species
GAUGAACGCUGGCGGCGUGCCUAAUACAUGCAAGUCGAGCGAACAGACGAGGAGCUUGCUCCUCUGACGUUAGCGGCGGACGGGUGAGUAACACGUGGAUAACCUACCUAUAAGACUGGGAUAACUUCGGGAAACCGGAGCUAAUACCGGAUAAUAUAUUGAACCGCAUGGUUCAAUAGUGAAAGACGGUUUUGCUGUCACUUAUAGAUGGAUCCGCGCCGCAUUAGCUAGUUGGUAAGGUAACGGCUUACCAAGGCGACGAUGCGUAGCCGACCUGAGAGGGUGAUCGGCCACACUGGAACUGAGACACGGUCCAGACUCCUACGGGAGGCAGCAGUAGGGAAUCUUCCGCAAUGGGCGAAAGCUUGACGGAGCAACGCCGCGUGAGUGAUGAAGGUCUUCGGAUCGUAAAACUCUGUUAUUAGGGAAGAACAAAUGUGUAAGUAACUAUGCACGUCUUGACGGUACCUAAUCAGAGAGCCACGGCUAACUACGUG